AUACCAAAAUUCUCUUUCUCUCUCUCUCUCUCUCUCUCUCUCUCUCUUUUUAAAUAAUAAUUCUAGACCCUAUCUUCAUCGGUUGUGUCAUUGAAAGAACAACGAACUACUUGUUCUUUGUGUAUAAAUAUUUGCCAAGCAAGGCCUAGGCAUUCAGCUCGUGAUCGAUCGUCGCUUUUCUCAAAAAACUGUGAUUUUCCGGGGGCCGGCGUGGUGGUGGAAGAUGGCGGUAGUUUCGGGCAGAAGGCGGCCGGGAAAAGGAGGGCUGCGAUCGGAGGAAAUUGUUUGACAUAAUUAGUUUGAUGAAACAAAGGUGAUAAUUUGAAGCUAUAACUCGUGAUGGAGAAAUAUUGAUAUAUGACUUCGUUGAGUUAUAUGUUCGAAUGAGUGGAUGUAUCGAGAGAGAGAGAGUCAUGAGAUCAGAUUAUUGAGACUACUUAAAUAAAAUCUUGCUAUAGAGAUGUGAUAAUUAUCUCUAUUUUCUUUC